AGUAGUUUCGUCUGAAUUGUUCCUGUUUUUUUUCCUAUCGCUAGUAAAAGAAUUCAAGUGUAUUAUAAAUGAAUAAUGAUUUUGUGGUGCCUGAUAUCGUCUCGGCUGAUGUAUACAUAUAAAAUAUGCCGCCGUCGACCUACACCGAGUAUGGCCUUGGGAUUUAAUCAUGACUGUCGACUUAGGAUGAAGAUCAAAGAAAUGUUCAUCAGAGAUGAAUAUGAUGCUUCGACUUUGAUUUUUGAUCAUCUAUAAAGAUCAAAGAAACGUACAUGGGAAAUGAAUAUGAUGCUUUGAGUUUGAUUUUUGAUCAUCUAUAAAGAUCAAAGAAACUUACAUGGGAAAUGAAUAUGAUGCUUCGACUUUGAUUUUUGAUCAUCUAUAAAGAAAUCCCAUGAAAGGGAAUAUAGGUUUCUAAUUGAUCAAGUCUAAUGAACAUACAGCAGAGAUGCCAAUAUGCUUGGAGUUUGAUUUUUGGUCAUUGAUAAGAAAAUACCAUGUGAUAAAUUUAGCCAUUUAAUGUGUUAUAUUGCUUACAAGUGUACAUGAUUUUUCCAGACAACUCCUUCAACAGUUUUAAAGAUAUCAUUUAUUUUUAUUUUGCAGAUCAAAGAAACUUACAUGGGAAAUGAAUAUGAUGCUUCGACUUUGAUUUUUGAUCAUCUAUAAAGAUCAAAGAAACGUACAUGGGAAAUGAAUAUGAUGCUUCGACUUUGAUUUUUGAUCAUCUAUAAAGAUUCAGUAUAUGAUAUACAUCAGAGAGAAGCAUGAUGCUUGAUUUUGACUGUCUAUUUGAAAGUUUGAUUUUGGCUUGGAUUACCAAAGAAUCUGACAAAAAAUGAGGACAUUUCAUGCGACCAGGAUAAGAUGCUGCUUGCAAUCGGCAUUGCUGAUCAUUCACGGACAAGAGCAUCAGGAGUUCAAGCUAAUACAAUCCGUAAUUGCCUCUAAAUACCGCAUGGGGAAGAGCUAGACACCAAAAUGUUGUUAUUUUUCGUAAAGCUGUGAAUAUUGACUUGAUUACUCAUUAUACAAUACAAAAUAAAGUUCUUAUUGUUCAGAAAAAAAUUA